rnacentral:rRNA from 1 species
AUGGUAGGAUAGAGGCCUACCAUGGUUUUAACGGGUAACGGGGAAUUAGGGUUCGAUUCCGGAGAGGGAGCCUGAGAAACGGCUACCACAUCCAAGGAAGGCAGCAGGCGCGCAAAUUACCCAAUCCCGACACGGGGAGGUAGUGACAAUAAAUAACAAUAUGGGGCUCUUACGAGUCUUGUAAUUGGAAUGAGUACAAUUUAAAUCUCUUAACGAGGAACAAUUGGAGGGCAAGUCUGGUGCCAGCAGCCGCGGUAAUUCCAGCUCCAAUAGCGUAUAUNAAAGUUGUUGCAGUUAAAAAGCUCGUAGUUGAAUUUCGGGAUUUAUCCGUCGGUCGGGCUUUUGGGUCUGUACUGGCGUGAUAGAUUCCUACCUUCUGAAUAACCGGCAUGUCAUUAAUUUGGUGCGCCGGGGAAGCAGGACUGUUACCUUGAAAAAAUUAGAGUGCUUAAAGCAGGCUUAUGCCUGAAUACAUUAGCAUGGAAUAAUGAAAUAGGACGGCAUGGUUCUAUUUUGUUGGUUUCUAGGAUCACCGUAAUGAUUAAUAGGGAUAGUUGGGGGCAUUAGUAUUCAAUUGUCAGAGGUGAAAUUCUUGGAUUUAUUGAAGACUAACUUCUGCGAAAGCAUUUGCCAAGGAUGUUUUCAUUAAUCAAGAACGAAAGUUAGGGGAUCGAAGACGAUCAGAUACCGUCGUAGUCUUAGCCAUAAACUAUGCCGACUAGGGAUCGGACGAUGUUAAUUUUUUAAUGACUCGUUCGGCGCCUUACGGGAAACCAAAGUGUUUGGG